rnacentral:rRNA from 1 species
CGCGUAGGUGGACUGGAAAGUCAGGGGUGAAAUCCCGGGGCUCAACCCCGGAACUGCCUUUGAAACUCCCGGUCUUGAGGUCGAGAGAGGUGAGUGGAAUUCCGAGUGUAGAGGUGAAAUUCGUAGAUAUUCGGAGGAACACCAGUGGCGAAGGCGGCUCACUGGCUCGAUACUGACGCUGAGGUGCGAAAGCGUGGGGAGCACACAGGAUUAGAUAUCCUUGUA